AGCAGUCGCCGCGGUAAUACGAAGGGGGCUAGCGUUGUUCGGAAUUACUGGACGUAAAGCGCGUGUAGGCGGGUCUUUAAGUCAGAGGUGAAAUGCCAAGGCUCAACCUUGGAACUGCCUUUGAUACUGGAGAUCUUGAGUCCGGGAGAGGUGAGUGGAAUUGCGAGUGUAGAGGUGAAAUUCGUAGAUAUUCGCAAGAACACCAGUGGCGAAGGCGGCUCACUGGCCCGGAAUUGACGCUGAGACGCGAAAGCGUGGGGAGCAAACAGGAUUAGAUACCCCCGUAGUCCCUGUCUCUUAUAC
rnacentral:rRNA from 1 species